UCGGGAAUUUUGGGCAAUGGGCGAAAGCCUGACCCAGCAACGCCGCGUGAAGGAUGAAGUAUUUCGGUAUGUAAACUUCGUAAGAAUAGGAAGAAUAAAUGACGGUACUAUUUGUAAGGUCCGGCUAACUACGUGCCAGCAGCCGCGGUAAUACGUAGGGACCAAGCGUUGUUCGGAUUUACUGGGCGUAAAGGGCGCGUAGGCGGUGUGUCAAGUCAGUUGUGAAAUCUCCGAGCUUAACUCGGAACGGUCAACUGAUACUGUCACACUAGAGUACAGAAGGGGCAAUCGGAAUUCUUGGUGUAGCGGUGAAAUGCGUAGAUAUCAAGAGGAACACCUGAGGCGAAGGCGGGUUGCUGGGCUGAUACUGACGCUGAGGCGCGAAAGCUAGGGUAGCAAACGGGAUUAGAUACCCGUGUAGUCCCUGAG
rnacentral:rRNA from 1 species